GUUGGAUUGUGGGGAGUGUGCAGCACACACACACCACACAGGCAAACAUUUCUACCCUGCUUUGUAACUAAGAGCACUCAAGGAUUCCUUGUGUUCUUUCAGUGAUGUGAAACCUCUCUGAAUUUAUUGUGCCUGUGGAAAUACUUCUGGGCCUGACCAAAUUGUAAUUAGCGAGGUAAUGUGCUUUGGAGGGGACUCCCUGCAAAUUGAUGUAGAAGGAAUCCAAAGCUAGGCUGGUUUGAGAGGGAUUUAAUUACCAGGAGUCACAAAUGGUUCGUUGCCUGAUGGAAAUGAGCGGUGUAAUUGCAAAUCUAAUCUGUUCAUGCCUGGAACUUCAGCAGCCCUAAUGUCUGUGAUGGAAAUUGCAUCAAGUUCCUUUCCAAGGUUUGAGUGCAAGUUCCCUUUCUGCAAACUGUGGAAAGACAGAGUAGAAUAUAAUUUUAGAGAUUCUGAAAAGGAAAUGCUGAAUGUUUUGCCCACUGCUACACAGAUCCAGCACAGCUCUGAAAGAAACACAGCUAUGAGAAGUUCUUGCACUUAA
rnacentral:lncRNA from 1 species